UACAGGGGGUGCAAACGUUGCUCGGAAUCAUUGGGCGUAAAGCGCACGUAGGCGGUUCGUUAUGUCGGAUGUGAAAGCCCUUGGCUUAACCGAGGAAGUGCAUCCGAAACUGGCGAGCUAGAGUACUAAAGAGGAUUGCGGAAUUCCCGGUGUAGAGGUGAAAUUCGUAGAUAUCGGGAGGAACACCGGUGGCGAAGGCGGCGAUCUGGGUAGAUACUGACGCUGAGGUGCGAAAGCGUGGGGAGCAAACAGGG
rnacentral:rRNA from 1 species